ACGGGUGAGUAAUGUCUGGGAAACUGCCUGAUGGAGGGGGGUAACUACUGGAAACGGUAGCUAAUACCGCAUAACGUCGCAAGACCAAAGAGGGGGCCUUCGGGCCUCUUGCCAUCGGAUGUGCCCAGAUGGGAUUAGCUAGUAGGUGGGGUAACGGCUCACCUAGGCGACGAUCCCUAGCUGGUCUGAGAGGAUGACCAGCCACACUGGAACUGAGACACGGUCCAG
rnacentral:rRNA from 1 species